CCUUCCUCUGCUGCAGCUCGUCGAGCUCGUGCUCCAGGUCCUGGCGGCCGCGCCGGAGCUCGUCCUCGCGCUGCGCCAGCCGCGCCUCGCGCUCCUGCAGCGCCCUCUCGCGGGCCUCCCACUCGCGCUCGCGCCGCCGCUUCUCCUCCAGGUGCUGCGCCUGCUGCCGCUGCAGGUUGGCCAGGUCCUGGCGCUGCUUCUCCAGGCUGCGCUGCUUCUCCUGCUCGAUGAGGGAGCUGGGCCGCGACGCCGUCCGCGUGAGCGCCCGCUCGGUCAGCAGCAGCUUCUGGUCCUCGAUGUAGCUGUCCUGCUGCAGCACCACCCCCUGCGGGGGAGACGCACGAGGGGGGACGAUGAGCCUCCGCCUGGAGGACGAGGACGCCACCCCAGACUACGGCCCUCCCCUGGUUUCUAAGCUGCUCUGGGAAAAUGCUCCAGCAUAACCCUGGGCGGCAACCAAGUCACAAGAAUGAAGCAAUAAGUAAACUCCUUGGGCGCCUAUAUUUCCUUGACUCUGGGCCUUACUUCUACCCAAAGCACGACACGUAUUUACUUCAGAACACUCAGCAAGCACCGGCAAAGGGGCACGAGCACUGCUCCCUGCAGCUGAGCAGACAGGGAGCACAGCCUGGGCUCUGCCAUGAACUGUGUGUGUGUGACCCUGGGUUGCUUGGCCUUCAUGGGCCUCAGCUUUCUCACCUACACAGUGGGGAUUACAAUACAGGUCUUGCAGGGAUGCCAACAAGACUACAUGAAACAGUAGGGCCUUGACAGAGCGUGGUCAAACAUAACCCAUAAGCACACUUCUCCCCAAACCACCUCAUGACGGAUUUGGAACGCAGGGCACAGUGGUGGGGGUGACUGACAAAUGGAUCAACUGGAAAAUUCUUUCCCGCAAGUACCUUUCUCUCCUUGUUUUAAUCUUAGAUGUGACCAUGAAUUCUGGCAGAUUCUUCUGUGACAAAGUACAAAGACUGUCACCAGGGUCCAAGGACACUGAUACCGAGACGAGAGAGCCAACAUCCCCUCGAUCUAGUAUCAGACACAUUCCUACAGCCAUUGUUCCCCAGGACCUGUGCCAGCUCAGAUCUGGUUUCUCUUUUGUUAGGAGCUAUUCCUCUCCUCGGCUGACAUGCCUGCCAGCACGGCUCUGCGAUGGAGGAGCAGCGGGGACUCUACGGGACUGCAGACGCCCCCAGACAGGGCCUCAGACCGCUUCCACCAGCUUUACCUUUUAACUCCCGAGCUUUGGUGUCCAACAUCUUCUUUUCUUCCUCAUUCUCACUAGGAAUUCCUUCAUCUUCAUCUCUGUUCCUAAUACAACCAUAACAAAACAGCACAUUCUGAAGAUGUCAAUCAGUGUGACGGCGGCCCAACCAUUAUGAAACCACAGAGGUACCAGGAGGCGGGGGUGGGCCAGGGUGUGUGACUCACAGGGUGCUGAUCGUGUCCUGGAUGAUCUGAAUCCAGCUGUUCCGCUCCUCUUUGGAGCUGGCGUGGACUUCCACCAUCUCUGGAUCUUUCAUCCCCAUACUGAUUAGGAAUAAACCUUUCUCCUCGUGUGCUACCUCUCUUACAAUCAGCUUCUUUAGAGAGAUCACCGUCGACUUCUGGUCCUGGAAAAUGCGGAGAGCGCAGAUGUUAAGACAUGGAUACAACAGUCUAGCUCUUAAGACAACCUCCGUCUAAGAAACUUGCUGUCCACUAUCUGACUCCAGGAUUCUGCUUCCAGCUGUUUGGACUCAAUCUCAAAGUCUCCCAUUAGCUGCCCUUCAUUCAGGAAUCCACAUGCAAAGACGGGCAAUAAUUGGACUUCUAGCUAAAGGGACUCCACACCCUCCUGGUGGCACAGUCUCUACAGCCAUUCCGGGGCCAUCUGGAAGCACUCAGAGCCGUCGGGCACAGAGCAGUGGUCCUCAAGCUCGAGUGUGUGCAUCACCAUCACCUGGAGCAGCUACUAAAACACAGAUCACUGGGCUCCGCCUCUGGAAUCUCUGAGGUAGUAGGUCUGGGUAGGGCCCAAGAAUUGGCACUCCUAAUUGAUCCAGGAUCUACACUUUGAAAACACGGCCUGAGGGAGCGGACUUCAGGGGAGCUACAGGGAGGCUUCGCUACUGCUCCCUGCUAGUUCUAGCAUCUUGUGAUCCUGACCAUUUCCACCUAAGGGACUCAGCUUUCACCACGACUUGACUUCAGACCGCUCCAGGUGUGUUCUACCGGGGUGAAGAGAUGCUGAUUUGUUUUAAAAAUUCUAUCCUGCUGUAUCUCUUAAUAUUUGCAUGCAAAAAGAUAUAUUAAAGUGAAUAAAGACAUUUGAGAGACAGGCGAAGAUCAACAUCAGCCAUCGUCACACAAAACCAUGAUGAACCGUGCGGCUGAUCUCUCUAAACCACGAGUCAAAACUGACUGAGCAGCCACU